AUUAUUAUAUUGAAAUAAUUUCAGAUGAUGAGACAGAUGGGAGGGUUAGGUGGUGGAGGAACAGAUUUGGGAGAUUUGGAUGGUGAACCAGACAGUGAUGAUGAUGGACUCCCAGAUUUAGAGUGACAAGUGGAGAGAGAUGUUUCCUGUCUAUAAGUAGUGUGUUGUUGCACUAGAAGGGAUCCAGCAGGGGCACUACUGUUAGCCAUCAACAGUGGUAGAUUUGACAUCAAAACUCAUAACUCCUACCCAGCUUAGUAAUAGAAAAUUUAAUGGAUCAUUAUCUUAAAGCAGAAGCUGUUUCUUGAAUGUUGCUGUUUUUCUCAGCAUUUUUAUUUAUAUAUAAAGUGUGCUUUUGUUUAUAUAUUAUAUAUAUAUAAAAAAAAUUCCAUUGAACAUUAUAUAAAAACCAUCAUUUACCUGCAUCUUGAUAAAAAAAAAAAGUGAAAAAUGUGAAUAUUGUGUAUUAUAGAUUUGCCCCUGCUCGGUCACAAUCUUUAUGGUUAUAUUUGAGUUCUGUGAAAAACAAGCACUUAAAUGUGGUUAUGAAAUUUUUGGAAUAAAAUUUGCCACUUUUGCUAUUAAAAA